ACCCUACUAAGAAAUCCCCACCGCUGGAUGAGUUAUUUCCUCUUUCUGCUGUAUGAAUACAAUGGGAAAAAAAUAGACCCUAGAGCUGAAAUACUGAAGUUAGGAAAUAGUGCCAUGAGUAAUAACACAAUAAUGAAUUGGACAGAAAGGCCUGGAGGUAUGGAUCUUCCAUCUAGAGGCUUGGAUUUAGUCGAGUCCCUUCUGAGCAUAUGACGGAGAGCUGGCUGUACUGGAAAUUAACUGAUUUCAUCAGUACCAAAACGCUAACACUGACUUAGAAGAUCAGAGUCAGGAGAAAGCCCUCUCGGGAUAGUAUGGACCUCAGCUUCCAUUUCUCAGUGCUUCUGCUUCUUUGAAAUAAAGGAAGUUUAAGUCUUA